rnacentral:rRNA from 1 species
UACGAAGGGGGCUAGCGUUGUUCGGAUUUACUGGGCGUAAAGCGCACGUAGGCGGAUUGUUAAGUCGGGGGUGAAAUCCCAGGGCUCAACCCUGGAACUGCCUUCGAUACUGGCAAUCUUGAGUCCGGAAGAGGUGAGUGGAACUCCUAGUGUAGAGGUGGAAUUCGUAGAUAUUAGGAAGAACACCAGUGGCGAAGGCGGCUCACUGGUCCGGUACUGACGCUGAGGUGCGAAAGCGUGGGGAGCAAACAGG